rnacentral:lncRNA from 1 species
CACCUCCCUUUGCAGUCCGGCCCAGAUCGUCCUCGGAACCCGGUGUGGCCCCACCUCCCUUUGCAGUCUGGCCCAGAUUGUCCUCGAACUGGUGUGGCCCCACCUCCCUUUGCAGUCCGGCCCAGAUUGUCCUCGGAACCCAGUGCAGGCCUCAUGCAUGGCAAAUAUUCCACAAACACACGCGGAACUGAACAUCACCAUCAACGCAUUGAUCAUUACCAUUUAGUGAAAUAAUGAAGGCUGCCCUUUAAAUUUGCAUUUGUGUGGACCAAUCAUCAGUAGCCAAGUGACCUGCUGCCCUGUCUCUGUGGACCACAACUCAGGGGAGCCCCGAGCAGAGCCAGCUCCCCGAAGUCCUCCAAUUGUUUACAUUUACGUCACAUGUGGAACUAUGAUCUGGGAAAGUUGGAUGUGGCCAAGUCAGAGGAGCUGAGCCUGCCCUGGGCUGGCUGCAGAAGACUCGGAAUUCACUGCCUGGUUGGACCCUCACUGCAGAUUUGGGAUGUAGGAGGGCAGGUGGUGGUAUCCCCUGGAAGAGUGCUGGGAGGAGGCAGCUGAAGACAGGGGAAGGCUCCAGGUUAGUGGCACAGAUGUCAUGGGCCUGUCGUCAAGAUAAAAGCAAUGGGAAUAUGACGGACCAUGUCAAGAUCUUUUGUGUGGAGGCCGGUCCAGGGGCCACUCAAGACCUUAAGUACAGCACCUCCGUAGGAAUUCUGCUGGGAUGCCACAGGAGAGGUCGGACACUUCUAAGACCUCACUCUCAGCAAGACUCGAGUCUCUUACUGUGUUUCCCACCACAAACACCCCACGGGAGCUACACGACAAUGACAGUGAAGGCUUGGGCCCCGCCACUUCUCCCUGCAGCCACUGUGCCCGCUCGGUCACUGGACCACCCUCUCAGGGGCACUGAUGUGCAGAAAGAGCCCAACGUGCCUCACAUACAUGGUCUCUGCGGAGAGAACAACCUCGGUUCAGCUCCUGCCUCCCACACUUAAUCUACGGGAACUUCUGUUUACCAUCUUUAGGGUAGUGGUAAUACUAAUUCUUUCUGCAAGGACCGUUGCAACAAUUCAAUAAGACCACGGAUGUGUGAGGGCUUCUUCAAGGAAGCCAGAGGGAGGGCCAGUGUGGCCACCGAGGCUCCUGUCUGUGGGUGGACACCAGCACAGGGGAAGCAGACGUGUUCCUGCCAUUGUCAGAUACAAGGCUGCAGUUAGGGGGUCCUGCCUAGUCCACUGGCUUGCUCUGAGCAGCUGUUCUUAUUGAAGCACGUGCCCAGGAGACGGCUUUAUUUCCCUCCCUCUCUCUGUUGUUAAGCAGUUCAAAAGUCACUGAGAGGUCAAGUCCUGAAGGCUAUGUACAAAGAACGACUCUCCUGAAAAGAUGGCCCCUGCUUCCCACAGCCCCACCGCUGAAGUCAGUGUUUGUGUUGGAGAAUAAUUAAAGCUGAUCACGUUUUGUCCCUAACACGGAGUGACAUCUUUUGAAUCUCUGCAUAUUGCUGUUUUCACUAAGCCACAUGUAACACUUCAGAGUGCCAAAUGCUUUUUAAAAAAUAGCCCUGGCUCUGAAAGAGUGCUGCAGAAUAACUCUGAUGGAAUAUGGCUUCUAUGAAAACACAAAAUGUUAAUCACCCCCCCAAGAAAAAAAGAAUUCAAAGAAUUGUUUGAAAAGAGAUGUUUGUUCUGGGCACGUAUUUCAAGGGCAAAAGUGCUUGAAGAGGAGUGGCUUACGUUUGUUCUGGUUCCUUAAGAUCUCCAGCCCAGCUCCCCAAACGGAGAGAAAUGGAGACCAGUCUUGCUUUCUGCAAAUUGGAGGCAUCACCUGACUCUUGUGUGCUGUCCAGGUAUGGUCAGGACUCAUGAAACAAGAGGUGGCAUUGGACACCUUGGAAGAGAAGCCAUGCCCCAGGCAGACCCUUUCUCACUCUCUGCAGCCCUGCACAGGCCUGUGUUCCCGCCGACCACCAGCCUCUGUGAACUUCUGCUCCUUGUCCUGCCUCCCCAGCCCAGCCCUGGAUUUUAGUGGCUACUGCGUACAAACCAGUUUCCAGCCUUAGCCAGUGCUCCUUGCUGCCCAGCCAAGAAUCUACAUACUCAUCCUCUGUCCCCUUCUGGCUGCUUCUCCUUCCCCUCUGAGACAAUUUCACCAGCCCCCAUACUGACCGGAGCUGACCCUGGAACUCAACUGAAAUAAUAGAACCAGCAGGCAGUUCCCACUCAACGUGCUUCCCUGAGCCUGCCUGUCUCCAGGACAAAGCCACCUCUGCGCUCCUCAUGCCCAUCUUCUCCUGCCUUCCCAGGAACCUCACCCCAUCAAGCACGCUUUCCCUCCUGAAAUCUCCAGGUUCUCUUCUCUUUUGGCUGUUUCCCCUCAUCCUAUGUAUACAAUCCAUUCUCUCCCAUCUUAAAAACAAACUACAGAAACAGUAAAGAGAUCAGUAGUUGCCACGGGUUCAGGGCAAGGUGGGAGGGAUGAGUAGCUGGAGCCCAGGGCACUAGGGUGGAGGAAUGCUUCCAUAUGAUGUUGUCAUAGUGGGUACAUGACAUUGUACAUUUGCCAAAAGCCAUCGAUCUGUACCACAUAAAGCACCAACCCUAAAGGAGACUAUGGACUUUAGUUAAUGAUAAGGUGUCCACAUGGCCUCAUCAACUAUGACGAAGACACCACACAAAUGCAAGAGAAUAAUAAGGGAAAUUGUAUGAAGGGUGGUGGGUGGGGGGGGGUGGAAUAAUACAAGGACUCUCUGUACUUCCUGCACAGUGCUUCUAUAAACACAGAAAUGUUCUAAAAGAUCAUCUAUUAAAAAAGCAAAACCGAACAAGACCUUCCCCUUGGUGGCUUUCAUGUAAAUGGCAGGGUAAGUAUAGGUAGUUAGCUCCCCUUUCCAGAGUCCAAAGGAAAUAUUUUUUAAGCUAGGGAAGCCUGUACCACACAGAAAACUGACAUCACUUGAUUCAUGCAACUUCCACUAGAAAGGUUCAGGUAUGUCUGUACUGAAAUAGAGGAAAGGUGGAAUUAUAACCAACGUUUCGCGGAAAGAGUAACUUGGUUCCAAAUGAGGGAGAUGAGAGACCCUGGUGUCACUCGCAGAGGCAGGAAGACAGGCAAUGAACAGAAAGGCAGCCAGCGGGGCGUCCCCAGGACAAACACUGCAAUGGGCUAGAUUUCCUCAGGAUGAGAAAGUCAAGGGGGAACGGAAGGUUUUUUAAGAGAAGCUACAAGGGCAGAAAUAAUCAACAAAAAGAAACCCACAAAGGUGAAGAAGGACUAGGUGAAGGUGAACACAGGAUCGCUGAAUUUCCAUAACAUAAAGCCUCAAAGAGCCGAGGGUGCCUGUGCUGCUGAGAACGGAAAGGAGAAGGCCCCGGUGGAAGCUCUCGUCACAGCCACGUUCCACGCCACAGGAGGGCGUUCCCAGACAGGCCCGAUUUUAAGUAUAUGAACCGGGAACCCUUCCCCAGAAGACUUUUUAGAGGUAUAAGCAAUUCUGCCCAAAGGGCAGUCAACAUUUAAAAGCUGAGAAUAGAGAAGUCAUUCGAAAAAAGGACCAACAGGAAGUAUCGAAACCAUCUACCUGUGGAUUUCUGUCUACAAACCGGCUGUAAACGGCGACACGGCAUGUAAACGCUAACAAUAAUGCUUUAUUAAGGGGAAUUACACUUACCAGUCACAAUGCAGGCUCUGCUAGAAACAAAUCCAGGAUCACAUCUAUAAGAACCAGGUGAUAUUGCUGUCAGCCUAAAAAACCCAAGUGGUAAAUUGAGAACUUCUCAAAACUAAUAAACAUGCUAACUGAUAUGAUUUGGAUCUG